UACGUAGGGUGCAAGCGUUGUCCGGAAUUAUUGGGCGUAAAGGGCUCGUAGGCGGUCCGUCACGUCGGCUGUGAAAACCCGGGGCUCAAGCCCCGGGCCUGCAGUCGAUACGGGCGGACUAGAGUUCGGCAGGGGAGACUGGAAUUCCUGGUGUAGCGGUGAAAUGCGCAGAUAUCAGGAGGAACACCGGUGGCGAAGGCGGGUCUCUGGGCCGAUACUGACGCUGAGGAGCGAAAGCGUGGGGAGCGAACAGG
rnacentral:rRNA from 1 species